rnacentral:rRNA from 1 species
UGAGCAACCUGCCCCUGACUCUGGGAUAACCCCCGGGGAAACCGGAGCUAGUACCGGAUACGACACGCGAAGGCAUCUUCUGCGUGUAGAAAGAUUUAUCGGUCAGGGAUGGGCUCGCGGCCUAUCAGCUAGUUGGUGUGGGUAAUGGCCCACCAAGGCGACGACGGGUAGCCGGCCUGAGAGGGGUGACCGGCCACACUGGGACUGAGACACGGCCCAGACCUCCGUACGGGGAGGCA